rnacentral:rRNA from 2 species
CAGUUAAAACUUUCAACAAUGGAUCUCUUGGUUCCGGCAUCGAUGAAGAACGCAGCGAAAUGCGAUAACUAAUGUGAAUUGCAGAAUUCAGUGAAUCAUCGAGUCUUUGAACGCACAUUGCGCCCCCUGGUAUUCCGGGGGGCAUGCCUGUCCGAGCGUCAUU